GUGAGGAAUUUUCCGCAAUGGGCGAAACCCUGAUCUAGCCAUGCCGCGUGAGCGAUGAAGGCCUUAGGGUUGUAAAGCUCUUUCAGCUGGGAAGAUAAUGACUGUACCAGCAGAAGAAGCCCCGGCUAACUCCGUGCCAGCAGCCGCGGUAAUACGGAGGGGGCUAGCGUUGUUCGGAAUUACUGGGCGUAAAGCGCACGUAGGCGGACCGGAAAGUCAGAGGUGAAAUCCCAGGGCUCAACCUUGGAACUGCCUUUGAAACUCCUGGUCUUGAGGUCGAGAGAGGUGAGUGGAAUUCCGAGUGUAGAGGUGAAAUUCGUAGAUAUUCGGAGGAACACCAGUGGCGAAGGCGGCUCACUGGCUCGAUACUGACGCUGAGGUGCGAAAGCGUGGGGAGCAAACAGGAUUAGAAACCCCGGUAGUCC
rnacentral:rRNA from 1 species